rnacentral:misc_RNA from 1 species
GGCCUACGUCGUCCUCGACGAUCUCGAGGAGCAUCGCGAGAAGGUGGGAGCCACGACGAAGCGAGCUCCGAAGCGCCUCUCCGUCGUCCGUCGCCCAGUCGUGACUUAGCCCGCAGGUCGGACGCAUCCCCGGACGGACGGAUACGAACAUUUUCUUCUAGUGGACGAGUGAAGAGACACAACUACCACCAUGGACGCGAUUAAGAAGAAGAUGCAGGGAAUGAAGCUGGAGAAGGACAACGCGAUGGAUCGCGCGUUGCUCUGCGAACAGCAAGCUCGUGAUGCAAACGCACGAGCUGAAAAGGCUGAAGAAGAGGCUCGUGCUCUGCAAAAGAAGAUCCAGACCAUCGAGAAUGAGCUUGACCAAACUCAGGAAGCUCUUAUGCAGGUCAAUGCAAAAUUGGAGGAGAAAGACAAGGCUCUGCAAAACGCUGAAUCUGAAGUCGCCGCCUUGAAUCGCCGUAUCCAACUGUUGGAGGAGGACCUCGAGAGAUCCGAGGAACGUCUUGCCACUGCCACUGCCAAAUUGGCGGAGGCAUCGCAAGCUGCCGAUGAGAGCGAACGCGCCCGCAAGAUUCUCGAGAAUCGCAGCUUGGCAGAUGAAGAGCGUAUGGACGCCCUCGAGAACCAGCUGAAGGAAGCCAGGUUCCUCGCCGAAGAAGCCGACAAGAAAUACGAUGAGGUCGCCCGUAAAUUGGCCAUGGUUGAGGCCGAUCUAGAACGCGCCGAGGAGCGUGCCGAGGCCGGAGAGUCCAAGAUUGUCGAGCUUGAAGAAGAAUUGCGUGUCGUCGGCAAUAACUUGAAGUCCCUCGAGGUCUCCGAGGAAAAGGCCAACCAGCGCGAGGAGGAAUACAAGAACCAAAUUAAGACCCUUACUACACGUCUAAAGGAGGCUGAGGCACGUGCCGAGUUCGCGGAGAGAUCCGUGCAGAAACUCCAGAAGGAAGUUGAUAGGCUCGAAGAUGAGAUGGUGACUGAAAAGGAAAAAUUCAAGGAGGUCGGGGACGGCCUGGAUAUGGCGUUUUUCGAACUCUAUGGCGUAUAACGCGGCUAUUAACUAUCCUCCUAACGCUUCAACAAAAAAAAAAAAAAAAAAAAAGAUACCGAUAGCCUUUCUUACAAAUCUAGCUUGCGCUUAACAAAUUUUCCACGAGCUUGUCCACGAGAAGGAAAAGUACAAAUACAUCUGCGACGACCUGGACCUCACCUUCACCGAAUUGGUUGGUUAAAUCGGCUAUCGAGUAUCCGCAUCCGCUGUCGAAUUAUUUGGUCGUGUACAUCAAUAUCAUGCGCCCGAUUCGAUCGCGAUCAAGUCAUGGCAUUGGCCACCCAAUGCGUAUUUCGUUAUUGUAAUUAAAAUCGAUGUACUAUAAAUACGUUCCGCGUUCAAUAUACUCCUUUUUUUUUAUUUAUCGACGACUCUACUUCUGGCUUUCGUGCGCAAUGGCAGCUGCUGAGCCGUGGUUAUUUAUUUAUUUAAUUAUUUAUUUCGAAAACUAUUUAGAUCAAAAUUAAGAACAGAAAUUCUAACAUAAUUCUAAUUGCAUUAUUUUGUUUUAAUAAUCAAGCACGAAGUAAGUAGAGCAAAAAAAGUACAGUACAUCUGAUAAUUCUGUAUGUAUUAUUAAUAGAAUAUUCUUGAGUUCUAAAACUUAAUUAUUUCCCAUCAUAAGUAACUUGCGACUUAUAAAACUGUUGAAAAACUGUAUAAGGCUAUUUUUGUUUCUAAUACUUCAGAGAAUAGGACAAUAAAGUUAUCAUAUAGAA